GUGAGAAAUAAAAUAAAAGCAAAAAUCAAGGAUGUGCUAUUUUUACUAUGGAUCUUCUUAUUUCUGUAUCUUCUUAUUUUUUAGGAUAUCCCCCCAGAUAUGCUGAAAAAGUGAAGAUAUACAGCCAUCCUCAAUAGAAGCCAGUCAUGAUCACAUACCUAAGUGGGGUUGAAUGCACACAGAAAUCUAUUAAUUUCAGACUCUUCCUCUAUUUGGGGGCAUCUCUACUAGCUAGGAUGCUGCCAUAGCACUUGAAUUUUAAUUUUCAAUAUCAAACCUAAGAUUACUUCACUCCUGCUGGAUAUUACUUUGUCUAUUUAAACAAUUUUUUGUCUUUGUUUCCUUUCUUCCUCUCUCCCACCUUCCUUCUUUCCUUUCUUUUUCCCACCCUCCCUUCUUCUUUCCUUCUUCUCGCUCUCCCUUGGCGAUGUGAAUUUUGUUCUGGCAUACAUUGAAUGACUCGUCUGCCACAAAGUUGAAUUCUAAUACACAAUGGUGUUUGGUUUCGCAUAGUGUAAUCACAAUUUUGUGCAUUUUAAAAUUACCUUAGACAACACUCAGAUUUGCAAGAGCAAAGGAAAUCAUUAACAAAUGAACUAUCAACGAUUGCCAAAAUUCUUUCCAUAUUGGCUGCCUAUACUUGGGUCUUCUGCAGCCAGAGUUUGCUCUGUUUCCUCUUUUGGAAGCUAGAAAAAUUAAAAAUUGUUGUUCUAUGUUUAAAAACUAUAGAAAUGCUGUUCUCCAAAGAGAAAAUACUGGAGCAGAACAGGUAUAUAUUCUGUGAACUUUGUUUUCCAAAAAGUCUGGUUGAGUAUUUAAGGUCCAGCUACCUACCAAGAAAUAUGCCAAGGUCUGCGAAGUGUAGAAUGCCAAACAAUGGCAUUUGUUUCAUCAAUUCAAUCCAUGUGUUUCAUCAAUUCAUGCAUUUUUUUUCCCUUAAAUAAUAAGUCAAUUUUAUCCUUUUGAUUCAACCAGCACAGCUUAGGGGAUGACACAUGCAUACAGUAGACUGUCAGAGUGGUAUACUUUGUAUAAUAGAAAUAAAUGAAGAUAAAAUAGAAAGGAAAAAAAGCAGAUGAUUUGCUAGGAACUCUGCCUGACCUGUAGUCCCUCAGCACAUAACAUUGUCUCUGGGGAAGAAAAGUUUAUCUUGGGCUGCAAACAGACAAUAAAUGGUAAGAAGCCUCAAGUUCUGAGACUUGGAUAACCACAGUAAGUAUCCCUUAUGGUAGGGCAGUGCAGAGCUCAGCUUUCUAAGAUGGAGAUUUCUAACGAAGAGACACAUUUCCCUAUGUAAUGAGAAAGUUGGGCUUAGAGGAUUUUUUAUUUUGCUUAUUUAUUGUGUGCAUGAAAAUUUUUGCUCUCAAGUUCAUUUUUGUCAGAUAUUGACAAAAUUCAGACUGCAUAAAGUUUAAAAAGGUAUCUACAGCAAUUUUUUUAAAAGCAUAGUUGAAAAUCUCUUAUCUUCUCCCUACUCCAUUUAAUUCAUCAACCUAGAAGAUGUGGUUAAAGCCCUCUUCUUAACAGUUUAGAAGUGUUGUGUUACCAUAGACUUUUGUUUGAGUAAUGUAAAAUAACUCGUGGAUAGUCUGACACUUUGCAAGAAAGCAUGUAACUCUGUUGUUCAGAUAUAACACCAGGAGGCCUUGGGAUUAUCUACCUAUCAGUGCUGAGAUGGAGAAAGAGUCAAAAGCAACCCUUCUUGCUCCAGGCAUGUGCAGGAGGUUUUUUGGUUUCAGCAUUUUGUUGCAUGCUGACUAUGUCCUUUACCUUCUCUUAAAUUAUGUAUCAAUUCAUGCUGGUUUAUUCACUUCCUGAUGUCUAUAUGAAGAGGCUGUCUGCCAACAUCUUUCAUCACUCUGCCUGCAACUAUGAAAAAUUUAGUUCUAAAAAAUGCAACCUUGCUAAAUUGAGUACUAAUAGGAUUGGUUCAAUUAUGUUCUAUGUCUGUUCCAUAUUGACAUUGUGUGCAUCUUUGCCAUGCAGGCUUUUUAGGAAUUAUCGCAUCUCUAACUUCCCACGAGUGUUUAUGAAAAUGUUUAGAUUUAAAGAACUUUAUUGCUUUAGACAGAAUAAGGCAUGCAGUUCUAACAGAAAGAUCCAUGAAUUCCAGAAAUAUCACUGAAAAUUAUUGACAUUUAAGAUUAUUUUCUGUUUGUUACUAUGGUUCACAAUUCAAGAAUAACUCUGGCCAGGUGCAGUAGCUCACACCCUGUAAUCCCAGCACUUUGGGAGGCUGAGGUAGGCAGAUCACUUGAGCUCAAGAGUUCAAGACCAGCCUGGGAAACAUGGCAAACUCCCACCAUUACAAAAAAAUACAAAAAUUAGUUGGUCAUGGUGGUGUUCACCUAUAGUCCCAGUGACUUGGGAGGCUGGGAUGGGAGGAUCUCUUGAGCCCAGGAGAUGCAGGCUUGCAGUGAGCCAUGAUCAUGCCACUGUACUGCAGACUGGGUGAAACAGCAAGAUCUUGUCUGAAAAGAAAAAAAAAAGUAAAAGAAAAAGAAAAGAAAAUAACUCCCAUUGCUAAAGACAUAUAUGCUUAUCAGCCACAGCAUGUUCCGAAGAGAUGAUUGGAAGAUGGAAGUGGAGGGUUAAAUAAUGAAAUGCAGCUAACAUUUCGGAAAGUUUCUAAAAGUUGUACAACAUGCCCUACAGCUACUCUUUAAAUCUCCAAAUCAAAUGAGUUUCAGGUGGAGCCUCUGGGAGGUGAUGAGGUCAUGAGAGUGGAGCCUCAUGAAUGGGAUGAGCACUCCUACAAAAAGGAUUCCAGAGAGCUCGCUUGCUCCUUCCACAGUGUGAGGACACAGAGGGAAGGCUCUGUCUAUGAAUGAGAAAGUGGGUCCCCACCAGACAUUGAAUCUGCCGCAUCUUGAUACUGGACUUCCAGUCUCCAGAACUGUGGGCAAUAAAUGUCUGUUGUUUAUUACCUGUCCAGUAUCUUUGGUAUUUUGCUAUAGCAACCCAAAUGGACUAAGAAAACACCAGAGGCCAUACCUAAUAAAAAUAUUGACAUCACAAU
rnacentral:lncRNA from 10 species